rnacentral:tRNA from 1 species
GGGGAUGUAGCUCAGAGGUAGAGCAUGUAGUUAGCAUCUACAAGACCCUGGGAACAGGCAAUCCCU